UAGGGAAUCUUCCGCAAUGGACGCAAGUCUGACGGAGCAACGCCGCGUGAGUGAAGAAGGAUUUCGGUUCGUAAAACUCUGUUGUUAGAGAAGAACAGCGCAUAGAGUAACUGUUAUGCGUGUGACGGUAUCUAACCAGAAAGCCACGGCUAACUACGUGCCAGCAGCCGCGGUAAUACGUAGGUGGCAAGCGUUGUCCGGAUUUAUUGGGCGUAAAGCGAGCGCAGGCGGUCCAUUAAGUCUGAGGUGAAAGCCCCCGGCUCAACCGGGGAGGGUCAUUGGAAACUGGUUGACUUGAGCGCAGAAGAGGAGAGUGGAAUUCCAUGUGUAGCGGUGAAAUGCGUAGAUAUAUGGAGGAACACCAGUGGCGAAGGCGACUCUCUGGUCUGUAACUGACGCUGAGGCUCGAAAGCGUGGGUAGCAAACAGG
rnacentral:rRNA from 1 species